AAGAAAAGAAAGAGAAAGAGAGAAUAUCAGGUGAAAGAAGAAAGUUUGAUAUCAGCAAGCCCCAUGGAGUCCCAAGAUGUCCAAGAUGUCCAGAAGUCCUGUCAUCACCUUCCUUUCUCCUUGCUGCUACCUGGUGAGAAUUGCCAUGGAAUGCAGCCAGAAAGCCACCAACCAUCAGUGAUGUUGAGCUGUGCGGCAUAAACAGCCCCAUGUCUAUAACAGAAGUCCAUCAUCGAGCUGUGGUAGCAUAGAAAUGGAGGGAUUAAUAACUCCUUCAGACAAAAUCAUCAAACAAUUCAGGAACAAAGACAAGCUCCAUUUCCCAAUCCCUUUGCAAUCUGCAUUGAACCAUGAGUCAAGUUCUUGAUAAAGGAGUGAAAAUGAUAAGUCUAAAGCAAUGAAAAGCUGCUGUAUUGACUGCACAUGCCUUCAUUUCUUCUACCCUGCUUCUUUCAUGCCUGCUCAUCUGAAUGACACCAGGAUGACAUUUAAGGCACACCUGAAGAUGGGGAAAACCACAGCACAGAGUAAGACUGGGCCCUUGAAUCAAUAAAUCAAGGAGAACUACUCAAGAGAACAAAACCACCAGCAAU